rnacentral:lncRNA from 10 species
CCACCGACGAGUUUCAACAUGGGGAAUCAAGUUCUCUGGGCUUGCAGAGAGGAGAUGGGCGGGUUGGGCUUUGUAUGGCGAUGUGAAAACCAGAUGGGUCUGGGAGAGACAGCGAAAGGAGCGAACCGUUUCAGGAGGAAUACGGGAGGAAGACAAUUAUUUGCAGAGGUGUCAGGUUUGCUAAUCCUGUCCCCAGUGAGCAAGAUACCUUUGCAAGGGGAUUUGAUGCAGAUGAUCAUCAUGGCUUGGAGAAACAAUGAAGGAAGCAAAGUAUGCCAUCUAUGCUGCGGGAGGUAACUCCAGAAGACCCCAGAGAGAACGAGUUUGGACUUUUAACUGAGGGCCAUUGGAAACUACUGAAGAGUUUUAGGCAGCAUAAGAACUACUAGAUUUUCAUUGUGGGAGGAUCCUCAGCAGCAGCCUCAGAAAGGAGAUUGGGGAAGGAGAUCCCUAGUCAGGGAGACCAAGAAGACUACUGGAAAAAAACAGGGGAAUCCUCAAGGACCUGCAAACAAGAAACCAAAUCCCCCCACUCCCCCCAGCCAAAAUGUGUUCAUUUUGACCAGCUGUGUGUGUGUUUUAAAUUAAAAGUUUGAAUUAGAAAG